rnacentral:rRNA from 1 species
AUUGAACGCUGGCGGCAGGCCUAACACAUGCAAGUCGAACGAGUGGCGGACGGGUGAGUAAUGUCUGGGAAACUGCCUGAUGGAGGGGGAUAACUACUGGAAACGGUAGCUAAUACCGCAUACCAUCAGAUGUGCCCAGAUGGGAUUAGCUUGUUGGUGGGGUAACGGCUCACCAAGGCGACGAUCCCUAGCUGGUCUGAGAGGAGGACCAGCAAAACGGGAACGGAGACACGGUCCAGAGGCCUACGGAGGGAAGCAUUGGGGAAUAUUGGACAAUGGGGGCAAGCCUGAUGCAGCCAUGCCGCGUGUAUGAAGAAGGCCUUCGGGUUGUAAAGUACUUUCAGCGGGGAGGCGUUACCCGCAGAAGAAGCACCGGCUAACUCCGUGCCAGCAGCCGCGGUAAUAC